AAGCAGGAGACUCAGUUGGGGGUUUCCACAUACCAAGUGCAGACAAAUCUGGUGUAGGUGAAGGUAAAACAGACGGCCGUGCCCGCUUGUUCCUUUGCACAGGUUGGGAGUUCGAAGGAGUAGUUGCAACAAGAGGCUCCAAUUCCCACGGUGAUACUCUAUCUGGACGCAAGAUUGAAGAAGGCUCAUCCCAUUGGACCUUUAAGGAUCUCCAUUCAGAAUCAGCCCACCCUGAUGACAUAUUAUCUCCAACACCAACAAUAGUGCCACUAAACCUUCGUUCAGGUACUUCCUCACCCUCAAAUCUCAUCUUAAACCUCAUCCCAACAGAAAGCUUGUGGCUCCGAGCUUCAAGAUACUUGUUGACACUUACAAUGAACUCGGAACGACUUGUUCUUGGCUUGUAGAAGACGGAAAAAAG
rnacentral:misc_RNA from 1 species